UCCGUAGGUGAACCUGCGGGA
rnacentral:rRNA from 1 species